GAUGAACGCUGGCGGCAGGCCUAACACAUGCAAGUCGAACGAGUGGCGGACGGGUGAGUAAUGUCUGGGAAACUGCCUGAUGGAGGGGGAUAACUACUGGAAACGGUAGCUAAUACCGCAUACCAUCGGAUGUGCCCAGAUGGGAUUAGCUAGUAGGUGGGGUAACGGCUCACCUAGGCGACGAUCCCUAGCUGGUCUGAGAGGAGGACCAGCCACACUGGAACUGGGACACGGUCCAGACUCCAACGGGAGGAAGCAGUGGGGAAUAUUGCACAAGGGGGGAAAGCCUGAUGAAGCCAUGCGGGGUGUAUGAAGAAGGCCUUCGGGUUGUAAAGUACUUUCAGCGGGGAGGCGUUACCCGCAGAAGAAGCACCGGCUAACUACGUGCCAGCAGCCGCGGUAAUUC
rnacentral:rRNA from 1 species